rnacentral:rRNA from 1 species
GAUGAACGCUGGCGGCGUGCCUAAUACAUGCAAGUCGAGCGAACAGAUGAGGAGCUUGCUCCUCUGACGUUAGCGGCGGACGGGUGAGUAACACGUGGAUAACCUACCUAUAAGACUGGGAUAACUUCGGGAAACCGGAGCUAAUACCGGAUAAUAUAUUGAACUGCAUGGUUCAAUAGUGAAAGACGGUUUUGCUGUCACUUAUAGAUGGAUCCGCGCCGCAUUAGCUAGUUGGUAAGGUAACGGCUUACCAAGGCAACGAUGCGUAGCCGACCUGAGAGGGUGAUCGGCCACACUGGAACUGAGACACGGUCCAGACUCCUACGGGAGGCAGCAGUAGGGAAUCUUCCGCAAUGGGCGAAAGCCUGACGGAGCAACGCCGCGUGAGUGAUGAAGGUCUUCGGAUCGUAAAACUCUGUUAUUAGGGAAGAACAAAUGUGUAAGUAACUAUGCACGUCUUGACGGUACCUAAUCAGAAAGCCACGGCUAACUACGU